rnacentral:sRNA from 1 species
AUGGACGUAGCGCAGGAAGCGCAAAAGCAACAACACGGACACGUAGGAUUCUGCCAGGACGGCGUAGUGAAAUGGAUGUCAGGGAAACAGUCUGCAAAACCCCGCUUCGGCGGGGUUUU